ACAAAUUAAGCGUUAUAAAAUAAUCCGAAUAUUAAUUUCAUUCAAGGAUAAUUUAUGGGGUGAGAUAGUCGAGUUAAUACACAAAACGCAUUUGCGGGUGAAGUGGAAGAAUUAGAUAAAGUUAAAUAAGAGUUUUAAGUGAAUUAUUGAUUAAGCUCAUUGCGAAGGUUAAUAAUAAUAAUAAUAAAAAUUAUUGGAAUGUGUUAGUCCAAGGGCCAAACAGUAACAUUCGACAAUCAAAUUGUUAAGACAAUCAGAAGGUUUUAAUCGUCAAGCUUCAAGAACCCUAGGGACCAAACCUAUCAACUUCAACACCAUGUUCACUCUUCCUGAUUCAUCGAUGGAGGCUUGUCGCUUUCCCUAUCGUGGUCCUGCAAUUGUUGAUGCCAAUGAAGGGAGCUGGUCCCAUUCCUUUACAUGUUCCAUUGGCCAUUAAAAUCAAGAGUAACACUCCAAUAUGUUUGGAGCCCUUCUCUUCAAUCUGCAAUUUCGAAAAUUAGUGAGAGAAAGAGAAAUUUAGCAUAGUGAGGGUUGUCGUAUGCGGUUGUGCGAGCUCCGGUGGUCUCUUGAGCACCCGAUGAUGUUCGUGGUCUCUUCCGAUAAGUGUAGACGGUGUCCUUCGGUAGUAGAAUGGAGAGAAUUAUGAAGUCUUUAAAGGUUAUUCCCCUGUCAUCGUCCAAACCAGAUAACCGAUCGAUGGUAGCAGGAACAUCAAGAGUGUUUGAGUGAGGUGAGCUCGAUUUUCAAAGAUGCCGAAGACAUCAGGCUCAUAGUGGCAUAUUCUCUUGAGCCACAUGUGAGAACUGAACCAGACUAAGGACGAGAGUGAAAAGUAAUUGCUCUUGUUUUCUUCUUUCCGCAGCUUAAUCUCAGGUGCAAGUGAGUUUAGAUCCUGUCGAAUCAUCCUUUCAAUUGUGCUUUGUCUCCAUCUCCAUGGCUACACCCAAGAAGCGUUCCAGACGGAGGGAAUGAGGAUUUGCGGAUGACCAGGUCAAUUGAAGAAAUGGAGACAUUGGGGAUGAGGUGAGUUUCAAGCAUUGAUGAAGGAAACUUCUUGAAUUCCAUUGGAGCGUAGGAGGAGUUUAGUGCCGCAUUGCUAGGUCCGACAUGGGAGCCAUUAGCCAGAAGCUUGUGGUUCGAUGUCCUCAAAAUGGAAUGCGUCGUCGGAGGUUGAUUGCACUGACCCUCUGAGGACGCAAUUGGUGAGCGAGUUCAAGCAGGGAUGGAGUACUGGGACCUAAUCCUAAUCCACCGCAUCUUUUAAGGUACUUCGUUUUCAAAGGAAAGGAAUCGGCUUGAUCGCAUCGCAUCACACUAUAUUUCCGCACAUGAGAUCUUUGGGAUUACACUCUGAUAUUGUUUUAUGAUAACAUAUUUUGAUUAUUUCUACUUUGGUUUUGACAAGACAUGAUGUUAUGGAUGUUUUAUUAUACUGAUGGUUUUAUAAUAACGUAUUUAAAAUGAAA